UACGUAGGGGGCAAGCGUUGUCCGGAUUUAUUGGGCGUAAAGAGCGUGUAGGCGGCCAUACAGGUCAGCUGUGAAAACUCGAGGCUUAACCUCGAGACGUCGGUUGAAACCGUAUGGCUAGAGUCCGGAAGAGGAGAGUGGAAUUCCCGGUGUAGCGGUGAAAUGCGCAGAUAUCGGGAAGAACACCCGUGGCGAAGGCGGCUCUCUGGGACGGUACUGACGCUGAGACGCGAAAGCGUGGGGAGCGAACAGG
rnacentral:rRNA from 1 species